GCCGCUAUGGCGGAAUUGGCAGACGCAAGGGACUUAAAAUCCCUCGGUGGCAACACUGUACCGGUUCGAUCCCGGUUAGCGGCACCA
rnacentral:tRNA from 1 species